AAAAAAAUAGAAUGGACAAAGCAAAAAAAGAAAAAGACAAGUCCAAAACAGAUUUUGUGGAAGCCCUCUUGGUCCAGUGAUUUGAUCAAGGGUUCAUUAAUGCUUCUAUACCAAGAAUUUUCGGUUUCAAUUCUCGGAAAAAGCAAAUUAUGCAGAAUAUUAGAGAGAAUGUUACUAGAAAUCUUCAGCAUGGUACAAGUAGUACCGUCAAAAAUAUAUCUUACAGGGCAGCUCAGGAUGAUGCAGUUAGACGUGAAUCCUCAUAAGACAGGUAGAAUUGUUGGCC
rnacentral:lncRNA from 1 species